GGUAAACAUUUAGAUAAAGUUCUUUAAUAUGCAAUAUAUUUUACUGGAAGUUUGGAUGUUGGAUUUAUGAGUCGCUGGAUUUAAAUAGUUGCUAGUUAUUGUGGUUUGCUGGUAAUACUUGUUUGGUUGACAGAAGGAAAAAGCUGGACAAAUUCCAAAGAAGGGGAAGGGCAAGGAAAAAACUGGCCAGACCUCAAAUGGAACUCAACAAUCUGGCCAGAGCUCAAGAAGCAACUGUUAUGAACUUGAAUUUGGUACACAACAAUCUCAACAAUCGGGCUUUGAAACUCAAAUUGGUACUCAACUAUCAAUAGCAUAUGGACCUGAUAUUGGCGAUGACGAAGACCCGACAUUGAGGCCAAAAGUCAUAUCGGAAGCUGAUACAUUGCUGGCCAUGAGGAAGACAAGAAUGAGGCCACCAACUGGUGGUAGAAGGAUUCAAUUCACUGGAGAUCCAAGCGGAGUGUCAACUCCAACCAACUUGCCUUAUUCACCGACAAAGACAACUUGGAGGGGAAAUGAAGCUGUUACAUGCACCCAGUUACAAGGUGAAGUCGGGAAAAAGCGUAUCAAGAUGAAGGCAAGAAAGGGGCAAGGAGAACCAGCCCCUGAUGACUGUGACAUUUGAAUGUUGUUUAUUUUGUGAUGCUUAAACAUUUCAAACAUCCUAGCAUUUAAAGGUUAAAGUGGUUAACAGUUGGCUUUUGUUAUUCUAGUUAGUUUAACCUUUAAAGUUAGCAUUCAAAUGUUAAGUAUGUUAUUAGUAAAGUUAAGUAUUUUGUGAAUGACAGGGAAUUAUAUUAAGUAUGUUUUUAGUGAAGCUUUGUGUUAUGGAAUCAUGUUAAGUAUGUUGUUAAUGAAGCCUUGUCUUGUUAA